GAGAGCCGUGGUUGGAGGCAGUCACUGUCCGUCUUUCCCCGAACUCGAAGCUUUGCCCUGACAGCCUCAUCCAGUGAGGUCCAAUAAGUGUGGAGCAUAAACCUGUGGGACGGAGCGGAUCCAUAGAAGUUGCUCCAUUUUUGAGCAUCUAUUUCUGCCUUGAUGAUCAGAUGUGGUGUGAGCUGUCACCUUCACCUGUGGAUCUGCAGGUCCUUGGGAGGCAACAACAAGGAAAAGAGCCCCGGAACAGAGUCAGGAUCCUGGUCCCCAAUCUUUUCUCUGCUACCAACUUCUUAUCCUGCUUUCCAUGAGCAAGAGGGGCCAAUGCCAGAGCAUCUUGGCAGAUGGACAUUUGGAUUUGAUACAAUCACUUUACCGUGCUGUGUACUGGAUGGAGCAAAGUAAAGCUGCUGUCAUGUAACUCCUCCGUCUUACCAGAAGCAGUCUGAGGUCAUGAAUUCAAUAUGUUUUCUGUGACUCUGU